GUUAUAAGACAUGUAAAUAUCUGCAAAGAAGAAGUGCAGCUCAGGUAAAAAUUUUGCAGUUAGGGUAACGUACAAGCAUCCCAUGAUUUUAGCAUGUUUUCAAGAAAAGAGUGCUGUGAUCAGUUGUUUGUUUUAAACACAGCCUUCAGUUUCUGUUCUGUUUUCUUCUUUCAUGACAGUAAAAAACGGUCAAAUACUAUGUAAAUUAUAAUAUACCUAUAAAUUCCAAUGGUUUCAGACAAAUAUUUAACAUUUUGUUUGAUGUUUGCUGCAGCAGCAUUAAACAGAUGUUUCUCUGUCUUAUUACUGUUCAUGCAACAUAAGAAAGAAGUGUAAAUAAUUGAAAUACUUUUUGUGUCACAUUAAAUGUACUGGUAAGUGCCAGUAUGACUGUAGAACUGCACUGAUGUCUUCUUUGUGUGUUUUAUUGUGCAGAGUGUGAUCCAGCUGCAGUCUACUCAUUAGAGCAAACUGGAGACGUCAGUUAUGAACAAAUCACCAUCAAAGACAAGGAAAACAGAUCAAAGAGCAGAGAGUCGUCGCCUACUCCUCGCUGAAGUAAUCUACAAGUCCAACCACUGGAAUCCAGCUGCUGUUCCACGUGACCUUCAUUACAAAUAAGAUCUGUAUAUAUUGUCUUUAAUCUUUUCAAUACAUUCAAGUCAACACCUACUGAGGGACCAAAAACUCAAAGAGAAAUUAAUUUUUUGGGUAAAAUAAAAGCUCAACUUCUUUAACGACUUUAAAGAAACAAAUACAUAUAUAUAUUUUCAUCACCCUGUCCUUCAGUGUCUCAGUAUGGCCAUAACAGCUACAUGUAUUUCUAUAAUACAUGUUAUAUGAACAAUAAAUAACAAUACUAUCUAAUAUAUAAUGUAUAAUGUCUAAUAUAUACAUGUAAAGUAAUGUAUUUAGUAUACUCAGUAACCCUGCUGUUGUCUCCACUGCAGUGAUCUGUAUUCUCUGCAGGACUCUGGUUGGACUUGUUGUUCUUCUCGUGUGGUUCUGUGGGUUUCAUGAAGAUGUCUGAUGGAAAAUGUGAACCGUUGUUGCUAACCCAUGCACACGUGUCUCUUCAGUGCAGAUAAACAAAAGCUUAAGAACAAAGUGUGGCUGUGGUUAAUGAGUUUUGAUUUAAGGAAAUGAAUUAUGUGAGACUUUAGAUGCUGUUUAAACUAAAGACUUCUCCAUCAGUAGAUAAGAGUGUGCAUGUGCAUCUUAGUUACAGUGUUGUUGAUAUCUGCGGUUGUCCUUGCACAGGGCAGUGAGGACAUAUGUGCUGU
rnacentral:lncRNA from 1 species